rnacentral:tRNA from 2 species
GGGGCAGUAGCUCAGUUGGGAGAGCGCGGCGUUUGCAACGCUGAGGUCGUCGGUUCGAUCCCGAUCUGCUCCACCA